rnacentral:tRNA from 1 species
GCGGAUAUGGUUGAAUUGUAAAAUUUCUCUUUGCCAAGGAGAAGAUGCAAGUUCGAUUUUCGCUAUCUGCC